rnacentral:rRNA from 1 species
CCCCUACGGGGGGCAGCAGUGGGGGAUAUUGCACAAUGGGGGGAACCCUGAUGCAGCGACGCCGCGUGGGUGAAGAAGCGCCUCGGCGCGUAAAGCCCUGUCAGCAGGGAAGAAAAUGACAGUACCUGAAGAAGAAGCCCCGGCUAACUACGUGCCAGCAGCCGCGGUAAUACGUAGGGGGCAAGCGUUAUCCGGAUUUACUGGGUGUAAAGGGGGCGCAGACGGCGAUGCAAGCCAGGAGUUAAAGCCCGGGGCCCAACCCCGGGACUGCUCUUGGAACUGCGGGGCUGGAGUGCAGGAGGGGC